GGCUCAAGUGAUUCUCCUGCCUCAGCCUCCAGAAUAGCUAGGACUACAGAUACAUGCCACUGCACUAGGUAACUGCUUGUUUAUUUUCAUAUAUUUCAUUCAUGCAAAUGGUUCUCCUCAUUUCUCCAUUUAUGCCUCCUCAGUCAUCACAGUAAACCCAAAUUUUGGAAAAUAAAAGCACUAUAGAUGGUGUGGAUUUACUGUGCAAUUGUGUACAUACCUUUCCUGAAUCUUUCUGAGGUUUCCUGGGUGAACCGGCUUCCAUCUUCUCUGUUGCCCCUCCAUAGAGCAUUUUAUGUGGCCGUCAUCAGCUGUUUCCUCUAAUAAUGUCUCCCAUACACUUCACAUAUUCCAGAAAUCUGCUUACAUCUCUUAUCAUGUAGCAUGACCACCAAUUUUAUGUCACAAUUGCUACCAUAAAAUGACCUUUGGUGAUUUUUGCUGCAUGUGGUGGACAGCUCUUCCUUCACAUUAGUGCUCUGUGGCUUUCUUUGCAGACUAUUAUGCUGUCUAAAGCUUAUUUGGCACUGUCGUGAGCCUCAACCCUUGCUAUUACCCCGAAGGCCUGUCUUAAAAAAAAAAAUCUCAUGCUCUAUUACGCCACUCCAAU
rnacentral:lncRNA from 1 species